CCUACGGGUGGCAGCAGUGAGGAAUAUUGGUCAAUGGACGAGAGUCUGAACCAGCCAAGCCGCGUGAAGGAUGACUGUCCUAUGGGUUGUAAACUUCUUUUGUAUGGGAAUAAAAUCUUGCACGUGUGCGAUGAUGUAUGUACCAGAUGAAAAAGGAUCGGCUAACUCCGUGCCAGCAGCCGCGGUAAUACGGAGGAUUCGAGCGUUAUCCGGAUUUAUUGGGUUUAAAGGGUGCGUAGGCGGUUUGUUAAGUCAGUGGUGAAAGUUUGGGGCUCAACCGUAGUAUUGCAGUUGAAACUGGCAGUCUUGAGUACAGUAGAGGUAGGCGGAAUUCGUGGUGUAGCGGUGAAAUGCUUAGAUAUCACGAAGAACUCCGAUUGCGAAGGCAG
rnacentral:rRNA from 1 species